rfam:Citrus clementina cultivar Clemenules unplaced genomic scaffold scaffold_5, whole genome shotgun sequence.
UAUCUGUGAUGAUGAAUUAAUGAUGACGAGUCCGAUCAAUUAUCUAAUCCAUUCACCCUUGACGACAAAUCGAGGCAUUUGUCUGAGAUAA